CAGCAGCCGCGGUAACACGUAGGGGGCGAGCGUUGUCCGAAGUUACUGGGCGUAAAGCGCGCGUAGGCGGCUUCUUAAGUCUGAGGUGAAAGGUUCAACGCUUAACGUGAACAGUGCCUUGGAUACUGGGGAGCUUGAGUAUGGGAGAGGGCAGUGGAAUGGCUGGUGUAGCGGUGAAAUGCGUAGAUAUCAGUCGGAACACCCAUGGCGAAGGCAGCUGCCUGGCCUAAUACUGACGCUGAGGUGCGAAAGCGUGGGGAGCGAACGGGAUUAGAUACCCCGGUAGUCCCUGUCUCUUAUA
rnacentral:rRNA from 1 species